GAUGAACGCUGGCGGCGUGCCUAAUACAUGCCAGUCGAGCGAACAGACGAGGAGCUUGCUCCUCUGACGUUAGCGGCGGACGGGUGAGUAACACGUGGAUAACCUACCUAUAAGACUGGGAUAACUUCGGGAAACCGGAGCUAAUACCGGAUAAUAUAUUGAACCGCAUGGUUCAAUAGUGAAAGACGGUUUUGCUGUCACUUAUAGAUGGAUCCGCGCCGCAUUAGCUAGUUGGUAAGGUAACGGCUUACCAAGGCAACGAUGCGUAGCCGACCUGAGAGGGUGAUCGGCCACACUGGAACUGAGACACGGUCCAGGCUCCUACGGGACGCAGCAGUAGGCAAUCUUCCGCAAUGGGCGAAAGCCUGACGGAGCAACGCCGCGUGAGUGAUGAAGGUCUUCGGAUCGUAAAACUCUGUUAUUAGGGAAGAACAAAUGUGUAAGUAACUAUGCACGUCUUGACGGUACCUAAUCAGAAAGCCACGGCUAACUACGUG
rnacentral:rRNA from 1 species